rnacentral:rRNA from 1 species
AUUGAACGCUGGCGGCAGGCCUAACACAUGCAAGUCGAGCGGCAGCGGAAGGAAGCUUGCUUUCUUGCCGGCGAGCGGCGGACGGGCGAGUAAGGUAUGGGGAUCUGGCCGAAGGCGGGGGAUAACCACUGGAAACGGUGACUAAUACCGCAUAAUCUCUAAGGAGCAAAGUGGGGGACCGUUCAGGCCUCACACCUUCGGAUGAACCCAUAUGAGAUUAGCUAGUAGGUGGGGUAAUGGCUCACCUAGGCGACGAUCUCUAGCUGGUCUGAGAGGAUGAUCAGCCACACUGGGACUGAGACACGGCCCAGACUCCUACGGGAGGCAGCAGUGGGGAAUAUUGCACAAUGGGCGCAAGCCUGAUGCAGCCAUGCCGCGUGUAUGAAGAAGGCCUUCGGGUUGUAAAGUACUUUCAGUCGUGAGGAAGGUGUUAAGGUUAAUAACCUUAGCAAUUGACGUUAGCGACAGAAGAAGCACCGGCUAACUCCGUGCCAGCCGCCGCGGUAA